ensembl:lncRNA
CAGCCCCAGGUAGGGGAUUUGGGGGAUGUUCCUACCAGCUACUGUAACUAUUUGUUUUGAGGAUCCUCCCUGUUUCUCCCCUGCUCGGCACUGGCUGCCAACUUAAGCUUUUCUUGGCGGAAUGGAAACUUGCAUUUGGGGUGAGCUGCCGACCUCCAAGACUGGCUAAGUCCACAGGUUUGCACACGGGCAGCCUUCCCAUUUGUGAAUGCUGGUGCUAUUUGGGCAUUCUUGCAGUGGGUUCUGACUGUAUUUGAUGUUGAGGAUCAUUUGUGAGCACUGAUUGCUAUUUGGGCACUUUCGCCAAUGGUUCCGAUGUCUGUCUGCCACUGAGGACCGUUUGUGAGCAUGAAGCGCUUCUGGGCAUUCUUCUCAAUGGGUUCUGACAUCUGACUACCGUUGAGGACCAUUUGUGAGCACCGGGUGUCAUUUGGUUGCUCAGUCGUGUCCGACUCUUGCGACCGCAUGGACCGCAGCCUGCCAGGCUCCUCUGCCCUUGGGAUUCUCCAGGCAAGAAUACUGGAGUGGGUUGCCAUUUCCUUCUCCAGAAGAUUAACUGUCUUAAAACAACCAAGGUGAUGCUAGUCAGACCACUGAUGACCAAUCUGAAGAUGACUGUUAGAGAUGACUGUGCUGUUUCUGGAUGUUGCCCACCUCCGACUCUGCCUGUAAACUUUCUCACCCCUUGCUUGUUGG